CUUUGUUCUGUGAUAUUUGAGUUACAUUAUUCUAGAUUGUUACUGAAGCAUUAUAUUAGUGGUGCUAAAACAUUAUUCUAGAGUGUUACUGAAACAUAUUUUAGAACGUUAAUGAAAUGUUCUAGGAUGUUACUUUAAUAUUAUCUAGAGGCUGAAUCAUGUUAUAGAAUGUUACUGAAACAUCUAGAUUCUUGCUGAAAUGGGUUCUAGAAUGUUACUGAAACAUGUUCUGGAGCAUAACUGAAACAUGUUCUAGAGUGUUUCUAUAACAUCUGCCCAAGUCCUCCAGGCUUCCUUGCUGCUCUACAGUGUUAUUAACAUAGAAUAUAAAUAUAGUAUCUAAAUAUAGAAUAUGAAGGCCUGCUUUGUGGCAUUAGAAUCACAAGACAGAUUGUUAACAAUACUCUGAAUCAUGUAUGUAUGUGUUUGUGUGUUAUAAAUGUGCCAACAUAGUGGAAGAUAACAGAUUUUUUAUGAAUGACAAAACGUGCAACAAGAUGGUGAAGUGCAACCCUAAAACUUGGUUAUCAAGAAAGAAAGUGCCAAAUUAGUCUUAAUUACUUUUCUUCUUAAAAGAUCUCCUGAACCAAAUACUGCACUGUGAAUGUAAGCAAAUUUGUGACUGGUUCUAUUAAUAUGCAGUAAGAGCAGGAAACCACAAUCCUCUGCCCUUUAUGCAUUGGUCUUUCCAGUAGACUAUCUGGCUAUCUAAAUGUUUACCAAGUCUAUAAAUACGAACUAAAAGGAUAUAAAUGAUAAUUUGGCAUUUGAGGGUCCUACAUAAUGAUCCAGUGGCUGCUGAUGAGUAGAUUGUUGGAUUCUAUCUGGUCUAUUUGUGCUUCCUCUUUAUACAUGGUACAAUGAAUUGGCCCAUCUUCUAUGAAGUGCCUGGAAUUCAAUGAUAGAUUAAUUAAUUUCAUACAUUUAAUUGCAUUUUAUUGUAUGAAUGAUAAACAAUCAUUUGUUUUUGUGCAAGCAGGUUGUUAUAAUAUGAAUAAGACCUGUAUGUGAGUAAACUAAAGGGCACUUCAUCUGUACUCUAGAUGUACCCAGUGAUACUGAUAUUGCUUUGUCUAUUUAUUCUUCCCGGCGGGGGUAAAUGAGGGCUCUCCCUAUGGUGAGAGGACUAGAGCCGCCACGCUGUUCAUGUUGUAGUUGCUGUGUGGAGCAGACAGACCUAGAUGUACAAUCGUCCUCCCGUCAGACAGUUUUUGUUCUUAUUUCGGUUUGUUUUUGAAGGGCUUCAAAUUCCUGUUUCAAGUUUGUUUCUGAAGUUCCUGUUUCAAGUUUGUUUCUGAGGGGCCGCUAGUUCCUGUUACAGUUUGUUUCUGAAGGGCUGCUAAUUCCUGUUUCAGUUUGUUUUUGAAGGUCCGCUAGUUCAUGUUUCAGUUUGUUUCUGAAGGGCAGUUAGUUCCUGUUUCAGUUUGUCUCUGAAGAGCCAUUAGUUCCUCUUUCAGUUUGUUUCUGAAAGGCAGUUAUUUCCUGUUUCAGUUUGUUUCUGAAAGGCAGUUAUUUCCUGUUUCAGUUUGUUUCUGAAGGGCCGCUAGUUCCUGUUUCAGUUUGUCUCUGAAGGGCCACUUGUUUCUGUUUCAGUUUGUUUGUAAAGGGCCGGUUAUUCCUGUUUAAGUUUAUUGGUCACCUCUGUCUCUAUUUAUUUUAUUGUUUGGUCAUGAAAAGAUAAAUCACCAUGCAAACAUUUUCCUUGCUUCAGAUUUCAGAUGAGGGUGUUUCAGGAUCCAGCAGAAGUCUUGUUGCCUAAAAGAUGCCUGGGACUCUAUCCACCAUAAUUUUUUUAGUUAUCAUGUUGGUAUGUUAUUGAUUACUUCUAAGUUUGACUGGUUAUUGAAUAGUUAUCAGGUUGGUUGGUUUUUGAUUAGUUAUAAGGUUGGUUGGUUUUUGAUUAGUUAUCAGGUUGGCUGGUUAUUCAUUAGUUAUCCAGUUGGCUGAUGACUGAUUAGCUAUCAGAUUGGUUGGUUAUUGAGUAGUUAUCAGAUUGGUUAUUGGCUAGGAUGAAUUUGGUUGGUUAUUGAUUAGUUAUCAGGUUGGUUGGUUUGUUAUUGAUCAGUUAUCAAGUUGAUUAUUGAUUAGUUAUCAGGUCUGUCUCUCUUCUCUGUGUUUUAUGUGUCUAUUUUUAAUUUUGUUAAUAGUGCUGGGCAGUUUGAUUAUAAGUUAAAUUAUAGUUUGAAAUUCACUUCUUAGGUUGUUUAUAAGGUAGAUUUUAUGUAGCUAUGUGACAGUUUUAUAAAAACCUUGGGAAGAAAAGCAUUAAUCAGAUUAUUUGCAUUCCAUUAAGGGUUUCUUGCCAUGUUAAAACAACAGAAUCACUUGGCACUGUAUGUGUGGAAACAUUUUUCAGAGAUUAAUUUAGCACCCCAGAUAAUUUAUUUUCCCUUUUCUAUUUUUGUUUUUAACUAAAAUAUAGUAUGGUGGAACUAACUACUGGGUAAAACGUUUUUAUUUAAUUUUUGUUGUUAUUUCCUAACUUUAAUUUCACUGUUCUAAUCCGUCUCUAACAUUCCACCAAGUUGAACCCCCAACUGGGAGGCACACCGAUGGCAACCCCCCCAGCCCCCCC
ensembl:lncRNA